AGCCAGGGCUACACAGAGAAACCCUGUUUCGAAAAACCAAAAAAAAAAAAAAAAAAAAAAAAAAAAAAAAUAAAUAAAAUAAAAUAAAAAAAGAAACAAAAAACCCCACAUUAACAAUCAAGUCCCGAGUUCUGAAUUGAGUCUAUUGAUUAUAAAUAUCCACCAUUAUCAAAUAUAGAUUGGGAACUAGUCUCACCCGUACUAAAAUGGCAAAAUCAUCUGUUCUGAAGUUAGAGAAAAGUUACCAUAUCCUGAGUGACAGGACUUUAAGAAGCCCACUGCUUCAUCUCUAGUGUUAAACAUUCUAGGGAAAAAGAUUCCUCUCCAAUAAAGUGGGCAGUGAAUACAAAGUGGAUUUCCCCCUCUUCUUAAGGACAGCCAACCCGUCAAUAUUGUCAGUGUUUUGCUUUUCAGGCUGUUCCAGACCCUUGGUUCUGAAACCUCUUUUUGCUCACUUAGGGAUAGGUAAGAUUUGUUUUUUAUUAUUAAAAUAUUAAAGAUGUUUUUUGUGUAUGUGUAUCUUACCUACAUAUAUGUCUGUGCACCUCAUAUGUGCCUAGUACCUGGAGAGGUCAGAAGAGGGGUCAUCGGCACUGGAUCCCCUGGACCUGGAGUUACAUAUGGUUGUGAGCCACCAUGUGGUGCUGCAAAGUAAAUCCGGGUCCUCUGGAAGAGAAGCUAGUGUUCUCUUUUUGUUUUUGUUUUUUUCUUCGAGAUAGGGUUUCUCUGUGUAGCCCUGGCUGUCCUGUCCUGGAACUCACGGAACUCACUCUGUAGACCAGGCUGGCCUGGACUCAGAAAUCCGCCUGCCUCUGCCUCCUAAGUGCUGGAUUAAAGGCGUGCGCCACCACUGCCCAGCCAGCUCUUUAACUGCUGAACCAUCUCUCCAGUCUCAGGAAGUUUUGUUCUUAGUCUUUUAUAAUGUAGCAUUAUCUUGUGGGUAAGAAUAGAAAUGGGCUGGUAAAAUGGCUUCAUGGGUAAACGGCCACUGGACCUAGAGACAUGUGCUUAAUCCCUGGGAUCCAUGCGCAGGCGAGGAGGGACAGCCACCAAACUGUCUUCUGACUUGUACAUGCAUGCUGCAUGCUGUGACUAGACACUCCACCCCCCCCCCCACACACACACAAAUUACUUUUAAAUAUACUUUUCG
rnacentral:lncRNA from 1 species